GAUGAACGCUGGCGGCGUGCCUAAUACAUGCAAGUCGAGCGAUUGGAUUAAGAGCUUGCUCUUAUGAAGUUAGCGGCGGACGGGUGAGUAACACGUGGGUAACCUGCCCAUAAGACUGGGAUAACUCCGGGAAACCGGGGCUAAUACCGGAUAACAUUUUGAUCCGCAUGGUUCGAAAUUGAAAGGCGGCUUCGGCUGUCACUUAUGGAUGGACCCGCGUCGCAUUAGCUAGUUGGUGAGGUAACGGCCCACCAAGGCAACGAUGCGUAGCCGACCGGAGAGGGGGAUCGGCCACACUGGGACUGGGACACGGCCCAGACUGCCACGGGAGGCAGCAGUAGGGAAGCUUCCGCAAUGGACGAAAGUCUGACGGAGCAACGCCGCGUGAGGGAUGAAGGCUUUCGGGUCGUAAAACUCUGUUGUUAGGGAAGAACAAGUGCUAGUUGAAUAAGCUGGCACCUUGACGGUACCUAACCAGAAAGCCACGGCUAACUACGUGCCAGCCGCCGCGGUAA
rnacentral:rRNA from 1 species